UACGAAGGGGCUAGCGUUGCUCGGAAUCACUGGGCGUAAAGCGCACGUAGGCGGAUUGUUAAGUCAGGGGUGAAAUCCUGGAGCUCAACUCCAGAACUGUCUUUGAUACUGGCGAUCUCGAGUUCGGGAGAGGUGAGUGGAACUGCGAGUGUAGAGGUGAAAAUUCGUAGAUAUUCGGCAAGAACACCAGUGGCGAAGGCGGCUCACUGGCCC
rnacentral:rRNA from 1 species